ACAGUGAUGAUAUGAUGCCAA
rnacentral:siRNA from 1 species